rnacentral:misc_RNA from 1 species
CACGUAGGGGGCGAGCGUUGUCCGGAUUUAUUGGGCGUAAAGAGCUCGUAGGCGGCUCGGUAAGUCGGGUGUGAAAUUUCAGGGCUCAACCCUGAAACGCCACCUGAUACUGCCGUGGCUAGAGUCCGGUAGGGGAGCGUGGAAUUCCUGGUGUAGCGGUGAAAUGCGCAGAUAUCAGGAGGAACACCAGCGGCGAAGGCGGCGCUCUGGGCCGGAACUGACGCUGAGGAGCGAAAGCGUGGGUAGCGAACAGG